rnacentral:tRNA from 1 species
AGAGCCUUAGGUUAAUUUAAGACCAAGGGCCUUCAAAGCCCUCAGUGAGAGUGAGAAUCUCCCAGGCCCUG